UACAGAGGGUGCAAGCGUUGUCCGGAAUCACUGGGCGUAAAGGGCGCGUAGGCGGCCUGAUAAGUAGGGGGUGAAAUCCUGGGGCUUAACCUCAGGGCUGCCUUCUAGACUGUCCGGCUCGAGCACAGUAGAGGCAGGUGGAAUUCCCGGUGUAGCGGUGGAAUGCGUAGAGAUCGGGAAGAACAUCGGUGGCGAAGGCGGCCUGCUGGGCUGUUGCUGACGCUGAGGCGCGACAGCGUGGGGAGCGAACAGG
rnacentral:rRNA from 1 species